rnacentral:pre_miRNA from 1 species
UGGAAGAAUUUGUAAAGCUCAGGAGGGAUAGCGCCAUGGAAGGUCUUUCUACUAAUUUGCUCUAUCAUGGGUGCUUUGGUUCCGAUCAUCUUCUCUAGCGCUAUCCAUCCUGAGUUUCAUGGUUUCUUCAU